GUUCUGAUGGGAGCAAGGCUUGCGACCCCUCCGUCACAACUGCUCCGGAGCCCGGACAAAGCCGAGGCCGUCUCUGUGAACUCUCCAGCGAGCUGACCAUUGCCCUCCUCCAUCUAAGAUGCAAGGUAGCAGCAGCAACACAGGUUCCAUGGCCUCUGUCGCAUAGCUGCCACCCAAGCCGUCCCCAGGGUGCGGUGGUGGUUGGCAUUCUGUUUGAUGCGGGCUGCAUCUACUCCCACGACAACGGUCAGCAACUAGGUGUUCACCAUCGGAGUUCUUCAGUAUCGCCCCCUCUCCGUCAUGUAUGUGUAGUUUACUCUCCCAUGCCAAGUAUCUGCUUGAAUUAAGUUAGAUUCAGUAAGAAAAUUGGUUAGCUAAAUUUAGAUGGAUUGUGUCCCCAAGUGCAGAGCUGAAACAUUAUGUAUUUUAUUUUGGUCUCGUCCCCAAAUAUAUUUGUUUUGGGCAUAGCUAUCCUACAAGCUUAGUACUCGGGCUGUCAUAAUUUCUUUUGCGUAGUUUGUAUGUGCUUAGUCAGAUAUCUUAUUGGUUUUGUUCAUAGAUAGAGUCAUUUAUUGAACCAUCAAACAGAGCACCUCAUCUAUGGCCUGUUUGAUGGUGGCCUGAAGAAAAACAAGAACCAUUGGUAUUCGGAUUGGUUAGGAGUGUGGCUCGAUUCAUCUUCAUUUUAAUAGUCCCAAAUUUGAUUGCAUCAGCCGCUUCAGGAGAUGUUCAUGUGCGCCACAAAAUUAGCUUGAUCUGACAAUAGUACGAGGCUACCAGCCAGCUACUCUGUAGCUCCCAGUGUAGCUGGCUGGACUAUGCAGCUAUUUAAUUGGCGUUCAGAACUAGUGCCUUUGGUAGUUCCAGCAAAUUGGGGAUUCAGUAGCGCACUUCCGUUUUUGAGUUUGCUCUCGUUAGUACAGGGAUAACAUUGCCUCCUAAAUAUAUAGUGAUAGCUCUACGACCAAACUGUAAUUGUUGGCUGAAGGUUCUACAAUUGUCCUGUCCAAACUGUAAUAUUUAGAUAACAUGAAUUAUGAUCCCAGAGUUCAGUUUUGAUUUUCAGGAGUGCGAAAUAACUAUAAUAUCUGCUUGUAUUAAGUUAGAUUCUAUAAGAAAUAUAGUUUCCUGAAUUUGGAUGGAUUACGUCCCCAAAUGCAGAGCUGAAGCAUUUUGUAUACUAUUUUGAUCUCGUCCCCGGAUGUAUGGUGUUUUGGGCAUAGCUCUCCGACAAGCUUAGUACUCAGACUGUCAUAUUUUGUUUUCCCCAGUUGUAUGUGCUUGGUCAGAGUUUUUUCUUGUUUUUGUUCAUAAAUAGUGUCAUUUCUAAUUUAACUUUACUCGACAUGUACAUGUCAAUUCAUAGUUUAUGACUAUGGUUAUACAUUCAUAUUACUUUGCGCCCAUCUCCUUAUAAUAAGAAAAUGCUAUUGUUUCCAUCCUCCAUUGAUUACGGGAGGAAGAGUGUUCAGCGUUGUCAUAUACCACACACGUGAUGUCUUAAAAAGCUUGAUACAGUGCAUGAUUGAGGCGGGGAGGGGGGGAGUAUUAGUACCAUUUCACACAACCAAACCUACCCUAGGGCCCUUUAUAAACUCUUUUGUAAACUCUCUAGUUUAGAGCUCCUUCUCUUUGCGGUUACUCUAUAACCUUUUCCUCAGUCAUGGGGAGAGAAGGAAUAGGGUGAUACUCCAGCAUUUAAUUGUAAAUUGAUUCAUGAAUUAAUACAUGUCAGUAGGAUUGUACGAAUCUUUCCUACUGUCUUUGAUGGUUAAAAAAAAAGGUUUGAUUUCUCAAUACAUGAAACUGUAGAUUUAGGUGACCAAAAAGAGUAGGUUUUGUCCCCAAAAAUCAAUCUUCAGUGACUUCUGGCUUCCUGUGAUGGUUUAUUUUGACUACUAGCUUGUUUUAAUCUAGACUAGAUAGACUGAUGGCAUGCAUCUCCAUUACUGAUUGAAAUUCCCGGCUACAGACUAGUUUGUAUGAUUCCUUGAAAAAGAAAAUGUGGUGUACAAAUUUGGGUAUGAGUUUAAAUUAUCAUGACAAGCUUUUAGCUCAUAAUCUUACAGAAUUUUUAUUAGUAUACGAAGAGGAAAUCAGAAGUUUAAGGUUCCCUUUGUUCUUGUAUAAUCUGCUCAUUUUGAUCAUUUGCAUAUUUAUAUUAGUUUUUGCUCUGUUUGGUUUACUGCAUCAUUCAGACAAUCCACGAAUGUUAUAUGUUCUUGCGUGUUGGCGCCUUGGCGGCCUCUACCUGUUUGUUGGUAUGCUUCUAACAGCGGAGUAUGUUUUUCAAGUGUCCAUUCAAGUGGAUGACUGCUAAUAUACAAGGGAUAGAAUGUACAGUAUUUUAUUUCAAACUGGAGUGGAUUUCUGGAACAUGUCUUCUUAUUUUAUUGUUUGGUGGGUGCAAGUAAUGUUAGAUUCAAAUUUUGGGAUCUUCCUUUACAGUAGCAAAAUUCAGGAUUGGCGAGAAGAAAAGUGAACAUAAAGGCUUCAGAUCUAUUAAUAGGAUAUGAUGUUGCUUCCAACUCAUGGAUAUGAAUGUUCCAGUCGCCGGAGAGAUUGUUGGACAGAUGAAAUUGAUGAGAAAUCUUUGCCCCCCUGCAAAUUAAGCAGCUUGAAGACCAAGCUCAAACCUGUACGAUGUCACUGAAGUUGCGCCUCCAAAUCUCUUUGCAUCUUGAUGUAAUUAGCCCAGUAGUAUUCAGUUCUGUAGUAAUGAUUUGUGAUUUUUCCUGCUGCUGGUUACCGAGUGCCAAGUGGCAUUUAGUUUCUCCAAAGGAAUUUCAUUUGUACUCGUAUGGAUGAUUUUUAUUACGUGAGAUAUUUUGUGGAAUCAUCAGUUUUUUUUCUACAUGGAAUAUAUUUAUUUGGCUUUGUUAUUCCUGGGCCAUGUCGUUGUUAUUCCAUGCAGUAUGAUUUAAAGGCCAUCAGGUUAGUUCUUGUCUUGGCUCUCAAAUUCUGUACAUUAAUGCCUCUCACGGGCCUGAUUAUCACCUUUUAGAGAGGUUCCAAUAAUUUGUAUGUUGGCUACAGAUUUUUCUUACGUCAUGGUUGUCCAAAUGCCUCCUGUACAGAUUUUUCUCGCGCCAUGGACGUCCAAAUGCCUCAUGUAUGCUAUUUUAUACGGGUCAUAAAAUUACUUAAGAGAAAAUACAAUAUAGGAAUGCAGGCUUCUUAUCAUAUAAAGAAAA